CUUUUUUUUCCAAUGUGUUUUAGUUAUGUAUUAGAGAGAACUUUUAGUUAUGUUUAGACAUCAACCACACUUAUUCAUUGCCUAAAACAUGGCCACUGAGAGGAUUAUUAGAUAGCAUUAGCGACUAAUUAAAUUAAUCAAUAAAAAUCAGUUCAUGGCCACUGGACUAGCUCAGUUGCUUUGAUUUAAUUAAAAACUAGUCAAAAGGAAUUUAACCAACUGGAUAUUGUCAGUAUAUUCUAGCAUGGGAUUUAAUAAAGCUAAAUAAUAUGCUGUAGAAAUGAAUAACGAGAUUGAUAACAAGUAGAAAUCUUAUUAUAACUACCAUUAACUGUAGCGGAAGCUUUUACCUCAUAAUAAAGCACUAGUAAUGCAAUGGAAAGAACUAUCUAUGAAGCCAAAUUUAUAAGAAAAGCUCAAACUAAGAGAGAUUGGCCCAUAGAGAAAAGUGAAGAAUAGGCCUAU
rnacentral:misc_RNA from 1 species